CACAUCCACUAGUUUUGCACUCAGAACAAAUGAAGUAAACAGCAAUGCAACAGACGACAUUGUUUUUCCUGUAAGAGAUAUAACUUUAUAUUGGAUGUUCCUAUUCAGUCACUGUUUACUUUUAGCAGUAAUGCAUGAAAUAUCAAGAGGUAGACGCAAAGGAAUAGAUUUGCAGGGUUACAUGUAGAAAAGUGUGCUUUUCUGUUGUUGCUUUGUUUUUAUCCCAUUUCCUCUCAAUUUAGUUUUGCAAGUAUCAUCCAUUAUUCUCUUACUGCAAAUUCCAAUGUAGAAGGGAGGAGUGCUAAUACAUGCUUCCUCUGAAGUAUGUGAGGCCCACCAGGACGCCUUUUCAAAUGUUUUCACGCACAUUAUGCUUAGAGGAGAGCACUAGAUCCUCAAGAUUGGCUGCUCUUACUCGGAUGAGUUAAGCAAGCGUGGAUGUCGAAAGUCCCAAGGCACAUGUUUAAUUUGAAAACAUAUGACAAGGGGAAAUCUUUCCCAGGCCUGUCACGGUCAGACUUGGAGCAACAGUGCAGAGUGUUGCAGCAUUCCUCAGAGCAGAAAGAACCCAGUGCACGACAGCUCUGACUCUGUGGACAUGCGGACAAGCUGGCUUCCAUUCCUGACGCGCUCAAGGAUGACCUAUUGCUUUGACGACCAGAAGGCUUAGCAAACACGCAGGCAAAACAGAACGAAAAUGUAUGUUUUUAAACUGCUAGAAACGAGUGACGCUAGUGCUGACGCAAGCAAUGUGUGUAGUCAUAUUAUGCAAGUACGUGCAUGUAAUGAUAUCUCCCCAUCAUUCAUCUUCUAUCCACCCACAUACUAGGCUUUGUUUUCUCUACUCUAUCUCACCUCCUCCUGAUGCAUGUAUCUGGGCUUUUUAUAUCAGCCCCUAACUUAGUCAAACCUAUUCAUCGAGUUUCUUAGCAACUUGUUCAGUAUAGAAAAGUAUCCGAUGGUACACCGGUGUGUCUCUCUCUCUCUCUCUCCACCUCAGCCAUUUCAUUCAAUCAUUCUGCGUGCUUAGAUACGAGGGGCUCUGCGCUUAAAAUGACAUCGUUUAAUCUGUCGUGCACAUUAACAGAAUCUGUAACUCCCAGUGAAAGGGAGGAACAAAUGGAUAUCCAGGGGAUACAAUGAUGGCUUAUUCUCAUAUUAUUGAAUCUAUAAUAUAUACUACAGCUGUUUCUGUUUAUUCGUUUGAUCUGCAUCUUUUUGUGAGCUACAACUAAUUUAAAUCCUUUGUCAGAAUGGUGUUUUUGGACACUUGUACCAGUAACGCAGAAAUGAUGUAAGGGAUAAGGGGGUAGAAUAUUGGAUUGUUGAACAGAGAAUGAAGAAAUGAAUUUUAAGCGGGAUAAAACUGUAUUUGUUCCAAAAGAGACAACACAUUUAAGAUGGAAAGGUCAUUUGUGUGGGUUCCCCAAGGCCAUCUGUGUGGGCUUCUCUUUGCGUGUGUAAUUACUUUAGCUGGAACAAAGCUGGCAAAGCAGCCGUAGAUGGAUGUCAUCAUCACUCGGUGCUCCUCCGCAUAGUACACGCACGCACGCACACGCAGAUCUCGCAGCACUACCAUAACAUACCACUGUAGUCAUUUGAUGUACAAUGUCCCAGCAAAAUGAAGUCAGUAUCAUGUUCAAGGUUGGAAUGAUUGGGUUAAAAGCAUCUAAAAAUGGCCAAAUGAUGUCUCCAUGAAAGAGCUGACGAGGCUGUGUAAAAAUGUAGAUUACUUGUACUGUAGCCAGAUAAAAAGUUUGAGCGCUUUUGAUAUUCAGAACUACCAGAGUCGUGUGGGAGGGAGUGACAGUUAUUAAUGUGAGAGUAAAUUCAGGCUGUAUGCUGUUUUGUCUUCUUGUUUUUUUUUUUCUUUCUAGGAGAAAACUUCAUCUUUACACAGGGAUUUUGCUAAGAGUGAGUCACUGUGGGAAGACACGUCGUUCUGGGUGUAGUAAUUAAUAGGCAGGGCUGAACAGCACCAUUUGUGGCUAAAGUUAACUGUUACGCAAGACUCGAAUGGGCAAGAGUUUAUCUGGCAUGCUCAGAGUAUAGUCACACUAGCGAAUAGAGAGCAAUGCCAACCGAAUACAUAGGUGAGCACAGCAUGUACACAAUCUGACGUGCACUCAAUAAUUCCUCAAAGUUCAGUUUCUGAAUGAUGGAAAAGAAAAUGUCACAGUGAACACUAUGUUCUGCCCUGUUCGGGUCCUCAUGAGACCUUCAGAGAUGUUUACUCAGAAAACAUUCCUUUGUGGCGACACACAUUCUCUGCUAUCUUUCUGUGUGUGUGUCUGUCUCUCUCUCUCUCUCUCUCUCUCUCUCUCUGACUUUCUGUUGUUCAUGUAUAUAGUGAUCAAUUUUAUAGAAAGCUUUUUUCAGCAUUUGCUUUUUGUUUAACUUCUGUAUCUCUCUUUCUAUCCUACAAGUGCACGUAUUAUCUCGCAGCUGCCCGCUCAGUGAUUUUGUAACUUAUUGGAAUUCAGCAGGCAGGACUAUCACAGUGUGUGUAUGGAUGGGAGGCAGAAAAUGUGAUCACUCGUUAUAUAAUCUUCCCAAAGUGUUAUGCUGUGCAACACUGUCGUAACACUCGCAUUGUAGCAGCUUCAGUUCCACAGCACUUAUUUUUGUAUUCACGCUCACGAGUGUUACAGAGCCAGCACACACCUCUGACUCCAUGCUGAAGACUACACUGUGAUUUAGCACAGUCAUCCAAACGUCAGGGAAAAUAAAUGUCUUUUGCACAUGAACUUUUGCAUGGGUGUCAUUAAACCCCGUAUUUGCAGUUUUGAUGAUGAAGCUACUUGUCAGAAUAAAGGUAGAGGGAGUUCCUCUGGACAGUGUGUUAGUUUUUGACUGGAAUGGGGUAUGAAGUAGUAUUCUGUAAUCCAAGCUGUGAACGAAAUAGUAUUGUAUCAUGUGUUUGCUGCACUGAUAUUUGCAUUCUCUCACAACCCUGCUAUUAAUAUGAGUCAUAAGUUCUUCACUAAGGUGAUUGAAAGCCAGAUGUUCAGGAGCAGGUCUGAGAAUAGACGUGCCUGGACUGCCCUGUUUGCGCGUGUGUGUGGUAGUUGUUGUUGUGGUUGGAUUGGGUGUAUGUUCUUUCACCUCUCUCCAUGCUUGUUUGUACUCAUUGCUUGCUUUGCCUUGCCCUCUUCAGGGUGGUGAUCGUGUGGAAGCCAUUGAGCCAGUGACUUGUGCUCUUGUAAUCAGAGUCUGGUUUGGAUAACCUCGGUUUGGAAUUCGUGUAGCAGAUUUAAACCCGGUUUAUUUGACGGCUUUACUGAAUCCAGGUCUAGGCAGCCUGCAUUUGACAUACCUGUCUGUGUGUUAUACUAAUAAAGGUUCUGCCAUGAACGGCCGCAUGUGUGGGCAUGUUGGCCACGUGUGGGUAUGGGCAUGUUAUGUAGCUGUAGGAAUGUAUGGAUCUGAGGUAUACAGUAUGUGGGCAUGUAUAUACAGUACAUGCAUAAUUCUUGCAGUAGUACGUGGAUUGGAAGAUCUUAAAGAUUAUAUUACAAGCCACCUUGGCUUGAUCUUUUACUACAGGAUAUUACAAAUUAACUGCGUGACUGAACACUUUAGUACUCGUAGUGCUUUUCACACACAUGAGAGAGAGAGAGAGAGAGAGACUGAGACUCUCACUGCCCCUACAAGGAUAGGGCUCACAGUUGUAUUGUUCUACUUCAAGACUCAAGGAAAUGAGAUCUCUCAUUACUGGCACUGUCAAGGCCACAGUCCACCAUUUUUAACAUUAGUCAUACCUAUGUUUUCCCUUGAAUUCCGGCUUACCAUGAAAUAAAGAGAUAAGAAUAAUACUAUGAGAAUAAGGAAAUAAGCACUACUUUGGGUGAUAUUCUUUAAAAAGCCAGUCUGUUACUAUAUGUUAUAUUUAAUAAAUAGAUUUCUAAAAAUGAGACCAAAUAUGAAUAUCUUACUUAGAUUGAACAGAUACAAAUAUAGAUAUGAAUAGUAGGUGCAUUAUUCCUUUGUUUUUUGUUUGAAUAUUGCUUAUUUUAGUUAUUUAUUUAUUUUGAAGAAAACAUGCUAGAAAGGUUUACAGGGCAUCAGGUUGAGCCUGGAGGUGUGCACCAGGAUGUAAAAUUCUUUUAUUUUUAAAUUGCGCAAGUAGGAGGGUGUGAGCAUUGAAUAUGUCUGGUCAUGAUUGCAGUGUUUUAGAUUAUGCUCCUAGUUUGUUUAUAUAUUAGGAAAUAGAUCCAAAUAGGUUUCUAACUAAAUUCACUAGAAAAUAUUAUGGGUGCAUGCAAACAAAAAUAAUAAUAAUAAUAAUAAUAAUAAUAAUAAUGUGUGAGCAGUUUGCUAGUUCUCAGUUGUGAACUAGCGUGAGAAAGAACUCUAGAAGAAGGUUUUUACAGUGUUUUCCAAAUGUUGAUCAAGCUAGAGAUUAUUUAGAAAUAUUUUGCACAAUAAAAGAUAGCAUAAUUGUGUUUCGCCCCUAGGCUGUACUGUAAAGAGCACUAUAUAAGGCAGCAGUGAGGGACUGAAUCCAGACACUUGCUUGUGAGUGCAGUGGAAACACAUCAUCAUGACCCGCACUUACUGUACAUAAACAAAGUGGACGUUACAAAUUACUCAGCAGUUACCAUUACAACUUCCCAAGUUUUAACGUUUUCUGUAUUAAAUACACAACUAACAACUGCCUGUUGACUUUAGAGGAGGUUAAACAACAAUUCUUAUUUAUAUUUAUAGCAUGAGGCUGUUUGUGCAUGUAUCCAUCCUGACCUGUAAAAUGCGAGCUGAAAGAAAUUGCAUUAAUACAAUUGAAGAAAUUGUAUUAAUGAUAAUGAGUCUUUAUUGGUCACAUGUACAUUACAGCACAGUGAAAUUCUUUUCUUCGCAUACCCCAGCAUGUUAGGAAGCUGGGGUCAGAGUGCAGGGUCAGCCAUGAUACAGCGCCCCUGGAGCAGAGAGGAUUAAGGGCCUUGGUCAAGGGCCCAACAGUGGCAGCUUGGCAGCGCUGGGGCUUAAACCCACGACCUUCCGAUCAGUAACCCAGAGCCUUAACCGUCAAGCCAUCACGGCCCCCAGUAUUGUGGUAGCAUUUAGUGUGGUACUAAGUAGUGAGCAUUGGUUGUGUACUGGAUUUAUGGUGCACUGUGGGUAAUAAUGUAGGAAGUACAAUCCUGGGAGUACAAUUUGUCCACAGAACAAAUGCACAGUAAAUAAAGCACUGUAUACCGUACUAUAGGAGGAAACGAAUUGAGACACAUCACACUUCUAGUCUCUGCCCAUGUGAUGUGACAUGAUAGUGGUGAACUUUGAUUUCCUAAGGGCUGGUUGGAGAUUGCGUUGCUGACUCACUUUUCUGUGGUGUUUUGCACAAUUGAAGUGUGCUGCCUGUGUCAUUGGUUUAAACGUUUGACCCAUUUUUUUGUAGAUAAGGCGCACAUACGCACCCUGGUUGAGGGAUAACAACAAGACUGUCUUCACUGAGAGAGAGAGAGAACCAUGAAUAAUGUGUUUGCAUCAAGUGAUUUAUAGGUAAAAUAGAGAGCAGCGUCAGCAGGGAGUCAUAAAGCACAGUGUCUCUCUCUCUCUCUCUCUCUCUCUCUCUCUCUCUCUCUCUCUUUUUCUCUCUCUGUAUCUCUCUCUCUCUCUCUCUCUCUCUCUCUGAAACUAACUCCACUCUGUCACUCUCUGCCAUUGUUUGACAUCUGUGUCCCUUCAGUUGAUUGCUAAAGCAUUCCUAAAGCAGCAUACACUUUUUCCUGUUACUGCCUCUAAAGCUCUUCCCACCAGAGACACCCACACUGGAGAAAAGAAAUGUUUUAAAGUGUGUACAAAGUGUGUACAUGGUGUACAAUAUCAUUGGAAAAACAGUACCACAUAAGCAAGCCAUCACCAUUCAAAUGUUUUCCUAUAUAAAAUAAUAAACCAUUAUACACACAUUGGCCCUCAGUUGUCAAGCUGGAUACGUACGGAUUUAUUCGUAAACAGUUCGUACGAGCGUUUACACGUGAAAAUCCCGGAAAUUCAGAAUAACUUCGGAAUAAACCUCGAUUUGAACGACUUCAAAAUCAUGUAUUUUGCAUGGGUUACUGUCCUUUUAAACUUAGUCAAGUUUUUAUUACGUCUAAGUAGACGCCGUUAUCCAGAGCAGCCUACAGAAGUGCUUUGGAGUCUCUAUGAAAAACACAUCCUCAGACUAGUUCCCUAGGUCUGCGGAGUAGGGAACUAGGGAACCUUCACUAGGUUCACUAGGGAUUAAGAAUACCAUUGAGAAAUGUUUGUGAUAACCAGGCAUUUUAUAUUACUGGCUUUAAUUAAACACUAUGGAGAAAAAAAGAAGAAA